UUACACCACACGCUCAAUAUAUAUAGUCAGAUAUACCGUAGCGCAUUUUCAUAAGCUUUUUAUUUGUGGAGCAAACAACAUAUAGUCAGAUAUACCGUAGCGCAUUUUCAUAAGAUUUUUAUUUGUGGAGCAAAUAACAUACUAAACAAAGAUGUCAAGUCAGCAAAAAGGUGGCGGUAACACGGGUACUGGAAUAAAGCCGGACCUUGAUAACCAUGCGAACCAGUGCAAUCCGAAUAACCCCAACCAUCAGGGGCACAUCCCUGGGUUUGCUGGUAAAGGGACAAAGGACGACCUAGACAACCACGCAAACCAGAUGAACCCGAACAACCCAAAGCACCAGGCGCCGAAAAAAUGACGCAUUGCUCUGAAGAAAAACACAAAAUAACUUUAAAAAAAUGCAGAUUAUAUUUUGUGUUGUGAAUAUGGUUGUGCAAAAAUAUUUAAAAUAAAUAGUUAUAAAUGUUG